rnacentral:rRNA from 1 species
UACGUAGGCAGCGAGCGUUGUCCGGAAUCAUUGGGCGUAAAGAGCGUGUAGGCGGCUCGAUAAGUCUGCUGUGAAAGUCCAGGGCUCAACCCUGGAAGGCCGGUGGAAACUGUCGGGCUAGAGUCCGGAAGAGGCGAGUGGAAUUCCCGGUGUAGCGGUGAAAUGCGCAGAUAUCGGGAGGAACACCAAUGGCGAAGGCAGCUCGCUGGGACGGUACUGACGCUGAGACGCGAAAGCGUGGGGAGCAAACAGG